GGAUCUCUCACUGAACCUGGAGCACACUGAUUCAGCUAAAGAACCCGGACAGCAAGCCCCAGGGUUCUUCUUGUUUCUGCCUCACCAGCACUGAGAUUACAGGAUUCCCCAAACUACUCCUAAUAUUUGGCUGUGGGUCUGCGUCUGUUUCUAAACAUUUUUUAGGAGAUUUGUUUUAUGUGCAUGGGUGUUUUACCUGCACAUAUGUCUGUGUACCACAUGCGUGCAGUGCCUGUGGAAGCCAGAAGAGGGCGCUGGAUACCUUGGAACCGGAGUUACAGAUGAUGGUCAACUGGCCUGUGGGUCCUGGGAAGCCACGCCAGUCCUCCGGACAAGCAGCCAGUGCUUGUCAUCUCAGCCAUCUCUCUAGCACCUUGCCUACUCUCAAAUCUGUAACUUGGACUGUUUUCUUAAGAUUCAGGCUCUAGAAAUCCUAAUUCAUUCCAGAAAUUUCACCGGGUCCCAGAGUGGCCUAGAGCUGGGCAGGAACAGAUCUCCUGGAUCCUGACGGAGGGUCCUCAGUCCAUAUGUAAGCUGCAUCUUCGUGCAGUGCUGUGAGGACUUGGAAUUGCCACCUCCCUGGGAAGAGCUCUUCCUCUACAAUGACGAAGACAGAUGUUGAGGCAGUGCCCGUGGUCAUGAUUCGCUAGAAAGCGGGUCUGCUUCUCCACAGGCUCCGCCUGGUAGUGCUCACACUUUAGAAUCUUGGGACAGAGGUGCCUCAGUGCCACCCUAAUGUCCUCCCCUCCCUCCCUUCUGUUGCUGUGACAAGCUGUCAGUGUUGAGGACGGAGCCGCUCCUCAGAGCUGGAAGUCACUGGAAGAUGGCAUUAGCUCCUCCUGCCACCCGGCCCAGGAACUGUGAAGAGGAAGAAAUCCCUCCUGUCAGGAGUUGAGUCAGGGGACCAGGGUGGCUGACAAUGAGCAGAGGCUUUGUCAAGAUUCCUGAGAAUGGAAGGGGACCUGAGUUUCCAGAAUCUUCUGAGGCUGGACAUUUGGACAGCCCCACAGCUCUCACUUGCAGCCCAUGUCUCAGUGCUGCUCUCCUAACACACCUGACUGUGGCUGCUGCGUCCUGGACUCUGAGGCCCAAGCUGAUCCAUCUUCUAGACUGGAACAACAGAGGUGAGCAGCCGUGGCAUUCACCAAGUAGGGCAUCUGUCACAGCUGAGAAGAGUAGGUCUCAUGGUGAGGGUUGGGCUUCCACCAUCCAACUGCAGUUCAGAGCUCAAUCACCUGGGGUGCACAUCUGCAGGGAGGCACUCCAUCCCUCAGACUCAGUCCUCCCUUUGCCCUGGACCCACCUCUGUCCUAGGAGCCCCUCAUUCUGCUGUGGGUAGGACCAGCAGAUCUACUCAAAACGAGUCUUUUGGGGGCACCCUCUUCCUUACUGAACCGAGAACUCAGCCCAGAACUGCUGAGAUGAGGUGGGGGUGAUCUCCCAAUCUGCCAAAGCUUUUAGAAAAACUGGAGGCCCGUGCGAGGAGUCCUCACACUUCAGAUGAACCAGCCUCCGUCCCAGCUUCUGAUCGGGAAGCCAAGUCCGGACAGGACAGGGCCCCACCCAAACCGCCUUUCCCAAGAUGGGCUCAUGCCCUUACCCUGGGUGUCCCAUACUCGGGUGUUAGUGAGUUUGGAAGAGGGCAUAUGGAAAUGGGGAUAGGAUUAUGAUGAUAAUUCAAGUUGUGCGGUCUGAGGCUUCAUGAAAAGGAGUCCAGAGCCUUCCCAGAAAAUCAGGCGAAGGCCGGCAAUUCAGGAACUGCAAUAUUAUGUGACUCUGAGUAGGUCGUGUGCUCCUUCUGGUGGUAGAAGGAGGAAUUGCACCCCAAGGCCUCUAGGUCUCCAAGCUAUGUAUCCGUGAGGCAAGGGUCACUUUCAAGACUCGAUUUAUAUUCUGUAAUUCAGUACAGCUCUUUAGAGUGAAGGGCAAGUUCAGUAACUCUCAGUGUGUGAAUUUCCAGGAGAGUGAAGGGAACUGUCCUGGCCCAGAAGCAGGUCACAGAAUCAGAAUGUCCCCUGGAGCUGUGGUCCUCAGCCCUGGGCAGGCUCACUGAGCCUCAGCCUGGGUGAGGGCCCCAGAGGGCAUGGGGACAGGAAGGCAGGCUCGCCAGCUAAUCUCAUGCCUGUGCCCAGCUCUCCCUGCUCAAGGAUGACAUACGGGUAGGCCCAGGUCAGGCAAAGUCCCCAAGGUCCACCUCCCGUGUGCAGGUCUGGUCACUUAGAGAACAGAGCAGGAGACAUGGUGAGAGGUUGAGGGAGGAGAAGUGACCCAUCCAAGACCAUUUAAGUGAUGGGCUGGUGAACAGAACAUUCUAGAAAUGUGACUUCUUUCCAGGGCUCCCACUUCUCUGUAGUGAACCACAGACCUUGAAUACUCUGCCUUGGCCCUGCAUCCAGAAACCUUGAAGAGCUUAGCUCCUCCCCAGUCCUAACCCUGGCCAGAUCUGCUCGACCUCUGCUCAUUCCUCCCACCCUCUAGAAGGAGCUCAAGCAUAGCAUAACCAAGUUCUACUUAAUGGUGGGGUCACAUUUUGUCAGUGGUGUGAUACGGAGCCUAGUAACCAGACUUUACCUAGUUGGCUACUGGUCUCAGCUGGCUCCCGCCCUUCCACCCCAGGCUUCUCUAUCUCUUAGUUCUCACAGAAAAAGGCAGGCAGGAUGUCACCCUGUGUAGACAAGUCACUGCCUUUCUUGCGGGGGAGGGGUUAAGCGUCCCCUCCCAUACAAUGGAAUGGUCUCAAAGGACUGUCCUCAAUUACCUAGGGAUGAAUGGGCAGGUGGGUAGGUGGGCUUCAGAGCCUAGGGGCAAAGGGUUAGGACAGAAGGCUUAAGUACCCAGUGAAAUGGCCUGUCCACCCUGACUGUAUGGUCCACCCAAACACAGUCUGUUCCUUUCAAAUGCUGUCACCCAGGGUUCUGCUCAGAUACUCUGAGAUGCAGAUAAGGAAGCCAGGCACCAGAUGGUACCAGCAUCCUGCCAGCCCUCCAGUCUCCUUGGAGAUUUCAUGUGAACGGAGGGAGAGGGAGAUGGACCCCUUUGUAGGUCUCUGUCCGGAUGGACAGGGCUGAAGGAAGCAGUAACCAUGGAUUCACUCUCACUGUUCACUCUUGGCCCAGGGACGAAGCAAGCCAACACCCAAAUAGAUGGCUAGGACGGGGUCCAGCUGGAGUUCCUUGGGCACCACCCACCCAAGGAGGGUGGUUUGACGGGUGUGCCGGGAACAUGAGCUGAAGCCCAGCACCAGGCUUUUCAGACCCACCCACCCUGAACAGCAGUGCAUCUUGAUGAAACCCGUGAAUGUGGACACAGACAGCUACCUCUUAGGUGGCCAAGAGCACCCAAGAAGCAAGUUCCCCAUGGAAGCACCCAGGCUUCAACAGCAGCAGCAUCCAGCAUGACCCAACAGACCCAGUCACCU